ensembl:misc_RNA 7SK 7SK RNA
GCUUCCCUAAAGCUAUGCAUACAGUUGAAAAGGAUGAUAUCCCUCAAAACAGAAGGGCCUAUCUUCUUAGAUCAAGGGCAUAGGAGUAACUGUGCUUUUCUGUUAGAACCUCCAGACAAGCUUUCAAGGUAUUGGGAUAUUUUAUGGCAGU